CCGGAAGUAAACAAAUGUCCCGUGAUUUGCGUGCAAGACGUACGUUGUUACUUUGUGAGUUUCAAUGUAAAUAAAACAACGCGGCUUGGCUCAGUGGUUCGAAACUCUUCCUCAGACUCCUGUCCUAGCUCGCCACACGGUCAACUUUUAUACGAAACGGAUCGCCGUUACAUUCUCUUCAAGACAACAUCGCCAUGUGCCGGCAUGUUGCAACGAUAAGCCUCCAGGGGCAGUGUGACGCUCACAUCCAGGUGUGGAUUUGAUUGAAAGAAACAAGGAAGGCUGUCACGUCCUGUUUCUAAGGAGAAAGCAGCUAAGAGGAAGGGAUUAUGGGGGCACAAAAAGGAAGGAAGCAGACGAGUGAGCAUGGAGGAAAGAAAGAAGACCAAACAACUGUCUGUGGACUUGAGAAGCAAAAUUGUGAGGAAGCAUGGGCAAUCUCAAGGCUACAAGUCCAUCUCCAAAGAUCUGAAUGUUCCUGUGUCUACCGUGCGCAGUGUCAUCAGUAAGUGUAAAGCCCAUGGCACUGUGGCUAACCUCCCUAGAUGUGGACGUAAAAGAAAAAUUGACGACAGAUUUCAACGAAAGAUUGUGCAGAUGGUGGAUAAAGAACCUCGACCAACAUCCAAACAAGUUCAAGCUGUCCUGAAGUCCGAGGGUACAAGAGUCAGUGUCAACCCGUACUAUCCAUCGAUGUCUGAAUUAAAAGACAUUCUAUGGUAGGAUACCCAGGAAGACCCCACUUCUGACCCAGAGACAUGAAAAAGCCAGGCUGGAGUUUGCCAAAACUUACCUGAGAAAGCCAAAAACGUUUUCUAAGAAGGUUCUCUGGUCAGGUGAGAUUAAAGUAGAGCUUUUUUGGGAAAAGGCAUCAACAGAGAGUUUACAGGAAAAAAAAACGAGGCCUUCAUAGAAAAUACAUCCCCACAGUAAAACAUGGCAGAGGUUCCCUGAUGUAUAGGGGUUGCUUUCACUGCCUCUGGCACUGGACUACUUGACCGUGUGCAUGGCAUUAUGAAGUUUGAAGACUACCAACAAAUUUUGCAGCAUAGUGUGGGCCCCAGUGUGAGAAAGCUGGGUCUCCCUCAGAGUUCACGGGUCUUCCAGCAGGACAAUGACCCCAAACACACUUCAAAAAGCACUAGAAAAUGGUUUGAGAGAAAGCACUGGAGACUUCAAAAGUAGCCAGCAAUGAGUUCAGAUCUGAAUCCCAUAGAACACCUGUGGAGCGAUCUGAAAAUGGCAGUUUGGAGAAGGCACCCUUCAAAUCUCAGAGACCUGAAGCAGUUGGCCAAAGAAGAAUGGUCUAAAAUUCCAGCAGAGCUUUGUAAGAAACUCACUGAUGGAUACUGCGCAGUUGUUCGCAGUUAUUUUGUCUAAAGGUUGUGCUACCAAGUAUUAGGCUGAGGGUGCCAAUACUUUUUUCAGGCCCUUUUUUGAGUUUUGUGUGAAAUGAUAAUGAUAUUUUUUUUUUUCAUUCUCUUUUGUGUGUUUUUAUCGCAAGCAAAAUAAAUGAAGAUAUUACUAACAAAACAUUUGUAAUUGCAAUCAUUUUC